rnacentral:pre_miRNA from 1 species
GGGGGGAGCACCCGGAUAUUGGGCUGUGACCCCCGGUGCCCUGGGCUCCAGGGCCUGUGCCAUUGGAAUCGCGCUCCUGGGGCCGCAGCCCUCU